rfam:Vigna radiata var. radiata cultivar VC1973A chromosome 8, whole genome shotgun sequence
GCCGAGUUGGGUAACGCCGACUUGUGACUCAAGUGAGGGCAUCAUGUUGGUGGGAUAACACCGUGGCUUGUCUGGAUUGGGCCUUGACAGCAAAAGGUUGGCCUGCCCGCUCCAAGUUGAGAGCUGGCCCACGGGAUCUGAGCGAAGGCGUAGGUCUCUUGGGUCCUAAAGUGGAGGGCACUGCGUGAGGCUGGUUUCACAGAGCAGCGAAAACCUCCCUCUCCUGACAGUGGAGGGAUAACAGGCUGCUGCAGUUUCUGCCCUGUGUGUCCAGUCAGCCUAGUUCUUAGACCACCAUCGUU